rnacentral:rRNA from 1 species
GACGAACGCUGGCGGCGUGCCUAAUACAUGCAAGUUGAGCGCUGAAGGUUGGUACUUGUACCGACUGGAUGAGCAGCGAACGGGUGAGUAACGCGUGGGGAAUCUGCCUUUGAGCGGGGGACAACAUUUGGAAACGAAUGCUAAUACCGCAUAAAAACUUUAAACACAAGUUUUAAGUUUGAAAGAUGCAAUUGCAUCACUCAAAGAUGAUCCCACGUUGUAUUAGCUAGUUGGUGAGGUAAAGGCUCACCAAGGCGGUGAUACAUAGUCGACCUGGUAGGUUGAUCGCCCACAUUUGUACUGAGACACCGCCCAAACUCCUACGGGAGGCAGCAGUAGGGAAUCUUCGGCAAUGGACGAAAGUCUGACCGAGCAACGCCGCGUGAGUGAAGAGGGUUUUCGGAUCGUAAAACUCUGUUGGUAGAGAAGAACGUUGGUGGGAUUGGAAAGCUCAUCAAGUGACGGUAACUACCCAGAAGGGGACGGCGAACUACGU